GAUUCCCUCGGCUGAAGGGACCUUGCUUACGUCACGUCCGACGUCACGGGGCGGGGUUAGCCCUUUCACACUUGUGGGUUAAGGGUUGCGCGUUACUGUACUUACUCCAAGUCUAGUACAGAAUUGCGAGAAAAGGUGAGAGGGUCGCGAACGUGGAUGCACACACCAGCAGACCGCUAAGGCUGCGUCACAAGGCUGGCUUGGUUCGAAUCCCAGGAGUGGUAGUAAGCUGAAUGCAUAAUUUCACCCAGGAAUACGUGAAUAUGGGUAGAAACAGUCAGGCAGUGUUAACAGACUUUUCCUCCAUGGGUCUGCCAGGUAAGAAAAGGUAUGUAUUAGCUGUAAGAAGUCUGUACUUACACACUGUGUACAACACCCACUGUCCAACUCCAAGGCUGCGGAUGACAGCAAGAUAAGUACAUAUUCCAGGUAGUCUCCUCCAAGAAAUGUCCCCCAAGUGUCACGCUAUCAUGGCCAGUGGUCAUUUCUGCCAACACCCAGGGUGACCGAAAGAAAUCAAGGCAGAGUAUGGCAGUAGCACAGACGCACACAGUA